CCGCCCAUCUCCAACUACCACGUCGGUGCCGUCGGCCUCGGCUCCGACGGCCGUAUCUUCCUCGGCGUUAACCUCGAGUUCCCUGGUUUACCCCUUCACCAUUCCGUCCACGCCGAGCAAUUUCUCCUCACGAACCUCGCCGUCCACCGUUGCCCCCGCCUCGUUGCAUUCGCCGUCUCCGCCGCCCCUUGCGGCCACUGCCGACAAUUCCUUCAGGAACUCCGUAACCCUUCUUCCCUCCAAAUCCACAUCACUUCUCAGCACCAAAACAAUCCCGAUGUUGUCACAUUUGAACCAUUGAGUGAAAUCCUGCCUAACCCAUUUGGUCCGUUUGAUCUAUUGGAUGACGAAACUCCUCUGCUCCUCGAGCGCCAUAACAACGGUUUAUCUCUGUUUAAUGAUAAUCAUGAUGGAGAUCUGUGCAAUGGGUUUUCAGAUAAUGAUUCAAAAAGAGUUAAUGGCGUUGUGAAUUUAAGCAAUGGAUUUUGCAAAAAGACUGAAACAGAAAAUACUAACCUUUUAAAGAUUGCAGCUUUAGAAGCUGCUAAUGAUUCACACGCGCCUUACAGCGGUUGUCCAUCAGGGGUGGCACUCAUGGAUUCUGAAGGCAAGAUUUACAGGGGUUCU
rnacentral:lncRNA from 1 species